rnacentral:lncRNA from 1 species
ACCCAUGACUCUUUCAUCUUCUAGUGAAGAUCCAUGGCAAGGUAUUGCAUUAGAAUUGAAUUCCAUAUCCCAUCCAUCUGCUAGCUCCUCCUCAUCAACUGUGCUAGUCAAUUCCUUCCAGGUAAUGAAAUUUCAUGAAGUUAAUAUUUUGUAUAUUUUAUUUUGACUUAGCCACAAAAAGGUCUAACAAAAUAAGAAGCUAUGAGUUUACCCGUAAAGCAAACUGUUUAUUCAAAUAUACUUGACAAAUUGUCGCAUGUUUGAUAAGACGAAAAUGUCCAGUGGAAUCUCAGAUGCAUCAUGUCCUUCGCGGACCCAUGGAUGCACUGAAAUGUUUGAGCAUAUCAGUUUGAAACAUGUAGUUUUUUUGUAUCAACAAUUUAAGGCGAUGAACACCAGUAACAUUUAAUUGAAUAAAAAAAUCUCUGAAAAUAAGUAUAUCUUAAAUUUGUUCAAUAAGUAUUCAAACAUGGAAGCUGUUUAGCCAAAACUGACAUUUAUUUGAUCAUAUUCUACCACCUUUCCAAUUAACCCUUUCAUUGCUUUUAAAUUUUUCAAAUCUGCUUCAUCAACUUGAUCUUUAUAAUUGUUUACAUCAUCAUCCUAUCUUGUUAUUAUAGCAGCAGAAUUUUUUUGCCAAAAGUUUGAGCUAGUAGUCCUUCCACUCUAGUAUCUUGAGAUGGAAUCUCCUGGCAUGAAGUAUUAAUAGCUAUAGUAGUUCCUCCAAAUGCCCUUUGCACCCAGGAAGCUGUUGAUUCACCAUUGCUAACACCCCUGUUUUCUGCAUUAUUACCCUUUGAUGUAGGACUAAAUGAAGGGAUUGUAGGAUUUAACCUUUUCCCAAUUCCAGCAUUAGAGUUUUUUGGACUAUUACCUUUGCCUUGUUUUCCUCCUUUAGGAGGAGAGACCUUAUCCAGCUGAACAGCUUCUUGGACCUCAUCAAAUUUUACUAACUGCUUAUCUUGCACUAUCUUUUGUUCCAAACCCAUAGGAUCCUGAGCCUGGCUUGACACCCCAUUGUCUGCAUUAAGAUCAACUUUCUCAGUUCCUAGUAGUGCAAACUUGUUACCUGCUGUUACCUGUUGUCUUUCUACUUGAUUGACUGGAACAAUUUCUUUUCCAAUAAUUGUCUGCAUCUCAUUCUGGUUGUUUGUCUUCUUAUUACGAUUAUCCUUGACAUCUUUCCAUUGCUCCUUGCCCUUCCCUGCCACAUUACCUAUAACUUUUCCACUUGACAAAAUCAUUAAUGGACCCUACUGGUUCAAAUUUGCAGAGCCAUUACCCUGCUCCACUUGCCUUCUUGCAUUAUUACCACUCUUUUGAUCUAAAUUUCUAAGUUAUAGAGCACUAGAUUCAUGCAGUAAGAUUUGCUUUAGCAGAAAAUCUGUUGCCAACUGAAAAUUUUUGGUGAAGAAUGCUCAAAAGGCUGAUUUGAUAUGUUUGCUUGUAUGAUAUGCAUUUACAUAUAUACUAAAAUACUUCAUACAUGAGACUAUACAUACUUUUAGGACACUAAUGAAGCAGAUACUUUCAAUUUUCUUUGUGUCUCUUUCUGGUUAUGGACUUUCAGUUUCAUAACCUCGUAAACUAUUAUCAACUUUGUUGUUUGGAAAUAUUUACUUCCUAUUGACGUAGUUAUUCUAUAAUUUCAGGUCGUACAAUCUGAUGUUCGAUAAUUUAGCAGGUGGAAGAUUUCAAUAUGACACUUUCAGAGAUUAUUUGAAGAUUGUUAUUCGUUAAGAUUAGUUAUAUAGUGACAUUAGCUAUUUACUUCAAACAAUAUGAGUUAUUUUUUAAGGUUUUG